rnacentral:sRNA from 1 species
UGUAGUCCCAUGGGAUAUUUGUUGUCCCAUGGGACAAAAAAAAAUCCCAUGGGACUAUAAUUAUCCCAUGGGAUUUUUAAUAUCCCAUGGGACAAAAUA